rnacentral:rRNA from 1 species
UACGGAGGGAGCUAGCGUUGUUCGGAAUUACUGGGCGUAAAGCGCACGUAGGCGGCUACUCAAGUCGGGGGUGAAAGCCCGGGGCUCAACCCCGGAACUGCCCUCGAGACUAGGUAGCUAGAAUCUUGGAGAGGUCAGUGGAAUUCCGAGUGUAGAGGUGAAAUUCGUAGAUAUUCGGAAGAACACCAGUGGCGAAGGCGACUGACUGGACAAGUAUUGACGCUGAGGUGCGAAAGCGUGGGGAGCAAACAGG